rnacentral:rRNA from 1 species
CAAUAGCGUAUAUUAAAGUUGUUACGGUAAAAAAGCUCGUAGUUGGAUUUCUACCGAAGAUAGCCGGUCGGGUCUUCGACCUUGUAUCUGGUUUUGUCUUUGGUAUCCUCAUAGGGAACGUUUCUGCGCUUUAUUGCGUGGUGCGGUAUCUAUGACUUUUACUUUGAGGAAAUUAGAGUGUUCACGGCAGGCAAACGCCUUGAAUAUAUUAGCAUGGAAUAAUAACAUAGGAUCUUCGUCCUAUUUUGUUGGUUUCUAGGGCUAAGAUAAUGAUUAAUAGGGAUAAUUGGGGGCAUCUGUAUCAACGCGUCAGAGGUGGAAUUCUUGGAUUGCGUUGCGACAAACUACUGCGAAAGCAUUUGCCAAGGAUGUUUUCAUUGA